GUGAGGAAUUUUCCGCAAUGGGCGAAAGCCUGACGGAGCAAUGCCGCGUGAAGGAUGAAGGCCUAUGGGUUGUAAACUUCUUUUCUCAGAAAAGUAUUAUGACGGUAUCUGAGGACUAAGCAUCGGCUAACUCUGUGCCAGCAGCUGCGGUAAGACAGAGGAUGCAAGCGUUAUCCGGAAUGAUUGGGCGUAAAGCGCCUGUAGGUUGUUUAAAAAGUAUUCUGUCAAAGAUUAUGGCUUAACCCUAGCUAGGCAGAAUAAACUUUUAAGCUAGAGUUUGGUUGAGGCAGGGGGAAUUCCCGGAGGAGAGGUGAAAUGCGUAGAGAUGUGGAGGAACAGCAAAGGCAAAGUCACUCUGCUGGGCCAAUACUAACACUGAAAGACGAAAGCGAGGGGAGCAAAUGGGAUUAGAAACGCCGGUAGACC
rnacentral:rRNA from 1 species